GAGUAACACGUGGGCAACCUACCUGUAAGACUGGGAUAACUCCGGGAAACCGGGGCUAAUACCGGAUAACUUUUCCCUUCGCAUGAAGGGGAAUUAAAAGGCGGCAUUUGCUGUCACUUACAGAUGGGCCCGCGGCGCAUUAGCUAGUUGGUGAGGUAACGGCUCACCAAGGCAACGAUGCGUAGCCGACCUGAGAGGGUGAUCGGCCACACUGGGACUGAGACACGGCCCAGACUCCUACGGGAGGCAGCAGUAGGGAAUCUUCCGCAAUGGACGAAAGUCUGACGGAGCAACGCCGCGUGAACGAAGAAGGUUUUCGGAUCGUAAAGUUCUGUUGUUAGGGAAGAACAAGUAUGAGUCGAAUAGGCUCAUGCCUUGACGGUACCUAACAUAGCAAGCCCCGGCUAACUACGUGCCAGCAGCCGCGGUAAUACGUAGGGGGCAAGCGUUGUCCGGAAUUAUUGGGCGUAAAGCGCGCGCAGGCGGUUCUUUAAGUCUGAUGUGAAAUCUUGCGGCUCAACCGCAAGCGGUCAUUGGAAACUGGAGAACUUGAGUACAGAAGAGGAGAGUGGAAUUCCACGUGUAGCGGUGAAAUGCGUA
rnacentral:rRNA from 1 species